UCCUACAAAGUGAUGGAGGUGGGACAGAGCUGUUCCUCAUGUCACAAACACUGCAGACAACAUAAAGGUUUGUGGAGUGUGUAGGUAAGUGGCGUGGGUAGGUGUAAGAGCAGAGCUGGGAAAUCCUUACAUAAGAGUGUGUCAAAUAUUUUGGUAGCUGGUGAUGUAAUUUGAAUCUGUUUUGCCAUUUGGAAACUAAACUUGCCCUGGAGCUUUGAAUGUUUUUGAAAUGCCAUAGGGCUGGAUGAUCUUGAAUGCAAAAGAUUGAAGACAAGAGAUACUGAGCAUCUAAAAAGCCAUAUCCGAUGUACAGAAACUUUCCUGUACUGCAAGUGAUAUCUGAGCUGAUGCUACCUACCAGAUUGUGUGAUUCUUAAGCUCUAGUAAUUUUUUACUGUGGAUACCAGUGAAAUGAGUCUAUGUCAGCUGAUUGACACAUGUGAGACAGAUUCUGGGGAAAUGGAUGAAGCCUAACUACUACAUGUUUCCUG